rnacentral:tRNA from 1 species
AGUCCUGUGGUGAAAAAGUCAUAUUGAAUUGCAAAUUCAAAGAAGCAGCUUCAAUUCUGCCGGGGCUU